rnacentral:rRNA from 1 species
UUGACUGAAGGAGCAAUCUGACAGUAGAGUGGCGCAAGGGUGCGUAACGCGUAAGUAACUUGCCCCAAGGUAAGGAAUAACGUCGAGAAAUCGGCGCUAAUACCUCAUAAUGCAGCGGAUCCGCAUGGAUAUGUUGUUAAAGGUUUACCGCCUUGGGAUAGGCUUGCGUCUGAUUAGCUAGUUGGUGUGGUAACGGCACACCAAGGCUACGAUCAGUAACUGGUCUGAGAGGAUGAUCAGUCACACUGGAACUGAGACACGGUCCAGACUCCUACGGGAGGCAGCAGUGAGGAAUAUUGGGCAAUGCUCGAAAGAGUGACCCAGCAACGCCGCGUGGAGGAUGAAGGUAUUCUAUAUCGUAAACUCCUGUGAGAGCAGACGAAAGACAGAUUAUUAAUCUGGAUGACUGUAUGCUCAGAGGAAGCCCCGGCUAACUACGUG